UCCUUUUUCUUAUUGGCAGGGUGGAGAAGAGGAAAAUAAUUGUUAGAGGAAAAAAGGGGCAACCUGAUUGUAGAAGUGGGUCUUCUGGCUGGAGAUCUCAAGUAUAUUAUUGAUUCUAACGGGAAGAACAAUGAAGAAAUGGAUUCAUCCAUUACUCAUAUUCUUGUGGCUGCAGCUGUACUGGGUAAGCAGAGGAGAGAAGGUGGAGCAGCGUCCUUCUACCCUGAGUGUCCAGGAGGGAGACAGAGCUGUUAUCAACUGUACUUAUUCAGAUAGUGGUUCAGAGUACUUCCCUUGGUAUAAGCAAGAAGCUGGAAAAGGUCCCCAGCAUAUUAUAGACAUUCGUUCAAAUAAGGACAUAAAUCAAAUCCAAAGAUUCAUUGUUGUGUUGGCUAAGAAAGCCAAACACUUCUCCCUGAACAUCACAGCCACCCAGCCUGGAGACUCAGCUGUCUACUUCUGUGCAGCCAGUACACGAUGCUUCCCAGACACCUGCAGCCUGUACUCAAACCUGCCACUGGGCUAA